AGGACGAACGCUGGCGGCGUGCUUAACACAUGCAAGUCGAACGGUAAGGCCCCUUCGGGGGUACACGAGUGGCGAACGGGUGAGUAACACGUGAGCAACCUGCCCUUGACUUCGGAAUACCAGCUGGAAACAGCUGCUAAUACCGGAUAUGACCUCGACCUUCCUGGGUUGGGGUGGAAAGCUCCGGCGGUCAGGGAUGGGCUCGCGGCCUAUCAGCUUGUUGGUGAGGUAAUGGCUCACCAAGGCUUCGACGGGUA
rnacentral:rRNA from 1 species